UAGUGAAGCGACGCGGUGAACUGAAACAUCUAAGUAACCGCAGGAAAAGAAAUCAACCGAGAUUCCCAAAGUAGUGGCGAGCGAAAUGGGAUGAGCCUUGUACUCUUUAUUUGUAUUGUUAGCCGAACGCUCUGGAAAGUGCGGCCAUAGCAGGUGAUAGCCCUGUAGGCGAAAACAGUAUGAAAGAACUAGGUGUACGACAAGUAGGGCGGGACACGUGAAAUCCUGUCUGAAGAUGGGGGGACCAUCCUCCAAGGCUAAAUACUCGUGAUCGACCGAUAGUGAACCAGUACCGUGAGGGAAAGGCGAAAAGAACCCCGGGAGGGGAGUGAAAUAGAUCCUGAAACCGCAUGCAUACAAACAGUCGGAGCCUCGUAAGGGGUGACGGCGUACCUUUUGUAUAAUGGGUCAGCGACUUACGUUCAGUAGCAAGCUUAACCAUAUAGGGCAGGCGUAGCGAAAGCGAGUCCGAAUAGGGCGUUCAGUUGCUGGGCGUAGACCCGAAACCAGGUGAUCUAUCCAUGGCCAGGAUGAAGGUGCGGUAACACGUACUGGAGGUCCGAACCCACUAACGUUGAAAAGUUAGGGGAUGAGCUGUGGAUAGGGGUGAAAGGCUAAACAAACCUGGAAAUAGCUGGUUCUCUCCGAAAACUAUUUAGGUAGUGCCUCGUGUCUCACCUUCGGGGGUAGAGCACUGUCAUGGUUGGGGGGUCUAUUGCAGAUUACCCCGCCAUAGCAAACUCCGAAUACCGAAGAGUGCAAUCACGGGAGACAGACAUCGGGUGCUAACGUCCGGUGUCAAGAGGGAAACAACCCAGACCGCCAGCUAAAGGUCCCCAA
rnacentral:rRNA from 1 species